CUGGGAAUUUUGCGCAAUGGGCGAAAGCCUGACGCAGCAACGCCGCGUGGGGGAUGAAGGCCUUCGGGUUGUAAACCCCUUUUAAUUGGGACGAAAAAAAUGACGGUACCGAUAGAAAAAGCACCGGCUAACUCUGUGCCAGCAGCCGCGGUAAUACAGAGGGUGCAAGCGUUAUUCGGAAUCACUGGGCGUAAAGGGCGCGUAGGCGGUUUAGUAAGUCGGAUGUGAAAUCCCUCGACUCAAUCGAGGAAGGGCAUUGGAAACUACUAGACUAGAGGAUAGGAGAGGAGAGCGGAAUUCCUGGUGUAGAGGUGAAAUUCGUAGAUAUCAGGAGGAACAACGGUGGCGAAGGCGGCUCUCUGGACUAUAUCUGACGCUGAUAGCGCGAAAGCGUGGGGAGCAAACAGG
rnacentral:rRNA from 1 species